GAUGAACGCUAGCUACAGGCUUAACACAUGCAAGUCGCGGGGCAGCAUGGGGGUUGCUUGCAACCCCUGAUGGCGACCGGGGCACGGGUGAGUAACGCGUAUCCAACCUGCCCUUCACCACGGGAUAACCCGGCGAAAGUCGGACUAAUACCGUAUGUUGUCCAUUGACGGCGCCCGAUUGGGGAGAAAGGCUUGGGGGUGAGAGGAUGGGGAUGCGUCUGAUUGGGUUGACGGCGGGGGAACGGCCCGCCGUGGAUACGAUGGGUAGGGGUGCUGGGAGGAAGGUCCCCCACACUGGAACCGAGACACAGUCCAGAAUCCUACGGGAGGCAGCAGUGAGGACUAUUGGGCAAGGGGCGUAAGCCUGAACCAGCCAAGUAGCGUGCAGGAUGACGGCCCUAGGGGUUGUAAACUGCUUUUAUGCGGGGAUAAAGUGGCCCACGUGUGGGCUUUUGCAGGUACCGCAUGAAUAAGGACCGGCUAAUUCCGUG
rnacentral:rRNA from 1 species